AGUGAACGCUGGCGGUAGGCCUAACACAUGCAAGUCGAACGGCAGCACAGUAAGAGCUUGCUCUUACGGGUGGCGAGUGGCGGACGGGUGAGGAAUACAUCGGAAUCUACUUUUUCGUGGGGGAUAACGUAGGGAAACUUACGCUAAUACCGCAUACGACCUACGGGUGAAAGCAGGGGAUCUUCGGACCUUGCGCGAUUGAAUGAGCCGAUGUCGGAUUAGCUAGUUGGCGGGGUAAAGGCCCACCAAGGCGACGAUCCGUAGCUGGUCUGAGAGGAUGAUCAGCCACACUGGAACUGAGACACGGUCCAGACUCCUACGGGAGGCAGCAGUGGGGAAUAUUGGACAAUGGGCGCAAACCUGAUCCAGCCAUACCGCGUGGGUGAAGAAGGCCUUCGGGUUGUAAAGCCCUUUUGUUGGGAAAGAAAAGCAGCAGGUUAAUACCACGCUGUUCUGACGGUACCCAAAGAAUAAGCACCGGCUAACUUCGUG
rnacentral:rRNA from 1 species